AUUUAAACUUAUUGAAGGAGAGAAAGUCCGUAAAAGGUUACAUAAUACAAUCUUGGUAAGGCUCAUACUGCCAGAAUUUUUACUGUUUUGGUGUAAUAUAUAUUUAGCUUAGAGAACUCUGUUAUGCUUCAGGAACUGAAGGGGAACAUCCGUGUAUUUUGUCGAGUGCGGCCUCUGUUGCCUGAUGAUAGUCCUUGUGCUGAAGGCAAGGUUGUAUCUUAUCCCACAACAACAGAAGCUCUUGGGCGAG
rnacentral:misc_RNA from 1 species